rnacentral:rRNA from 1 species
UGGGGAAUAUUGCACAAUGGACGGAAGUUUGAUGCAGCGACGCCGCGUGGAGGGUGUAGGCCUUCGGGUUGUGAACUCCUUUUUCUCGCGAAAAAGGCACAGUUUUGGCUGUGUUGAUGGUAGUGGGGGAAGAAGCGCCGGCUAACUACGUGCCAGCAGCCGCGGUAAUACGUAGGGCGCGAGCGUUGUCCGGAUUUAUUGGGCGUAAAGAGCUCGUAGGUGGUUCGUCGCGUCUGUCGUGAAAGCCAGCAGCUUAACUGUUGGUCUGCGGUGGGUACGGGCGGGCUUGAGUGCGGUAGGGGUGACUGGAAUUCCUGGUGUAGCGGUGGAAUGCGCAGAUAUCAGGAGGAACACCGAUGGCGAAGGCAGGUCACUGGGCCGUUACUGACACUGAGGGGCGAAAGCGUGGGGAGCGAACAGG